CCCCCACAUGGGAAAUGGCAGGCGGCGUGCCGCAGGGGUUAACUUCUGAAAACGGUUCAAAUUCGGCUAUCGAGAACGAAAAGGUGGCGAGGCAUCCAGCUUCCGAACGUGCCUGAGUUAAGCAGCACAGUGUAGGAGCAGUCAGCGUUGCAGAGAGAGGCCAUUCUGUGAUUCUAUGACUUCCUGGUCAUUCUGGAGCAUCAGCAGCUGUACUUGGAUAUGAAUUGCACUGUGAUACAGGGAGAAACUGGAGCUGCCUCAUCAGUGCCAUUUCCGUGUUGUCUGAUCUCAGGAGAAGGACAGCAUGGAUGAAUUUGUGCAACAACCCUUCCAGCCAUAGAAGAUUAUAUCUUACAAGAAAAUCCACUGGUGACCUGUAAGCUUCACUGGCCAUUCCUCACCCACAGUGAUGCCAUACAGAUGUAUAAGAAAACUGCAGCCUGUCAGUCUAACCAGGUGAAGCUCUCCUCCAGUGCCCUGGCAUCAAAACUCAAUAAAACAACCUUUGGUAUUAAAUCCAUGUCAGUGUUAAAUAACAUCUGUGCCAAGCAGGGAGGUGCCAGCCAUGUUGGAUGAAUACAUGCCAGAGCAUUUAGAUGAUAACUGGUGUGAUGAAUUAAACUCUUACACAAAUAGAUACCUAGGCAAAGAGCACAGCGACCAAAUUCCAUCGUGCGCUACCCUGUUAUCUCCACCGGGUUGCAAAAUGCUUGAGUCAGAGGCAGGAGAUGGCCUUUGGCAUUAUCUGUGAAGAGUAUUAUGAUCCCCACUAAGCAAACCAGUGUGGUUUUACUUCCUGUUGUUCCUGGGCCUUUUUCAAGCGAGCUUUCUAGCAGUACUCUGCCCCAAUGUUUAUGUGGCAAUCAGCUGAAGUCUGCAUUAGCAAGAAAGGGUUUAUUUCCAGGAAAGGAACCAGGGCUGAGGCAUCAGGUGGCUCAGGGUCCGGCCUCCUGUCACACAGCUGCGGUCCUCAGGCUUAGCUGCCAUGACAAAGAACAAGAUACAGAACCCAUCCUUGGAUGGCACAGAGCCACAGACACCAAGCACAUCGGUUUGAGCUCUUUCUUCUUUAUCUUUUGUGGCGCUGAAGAUUAUGAUUGAAAAGAUGGCCAGGAUGUAACUUAUUAAUUAAAAUGUACUGGGUUCACCAGCAAUCUUAACUGAAAGCCUGAGCUGCUUAAUUUAUCACUGGAAUCGUUUUACCACUGAGCUUUUUUAGAUUUCUUGUGGGCGCUGUAAGGGAG